rnacentral:tRNA from 1 species
GCCGCCGUAGCUCAGACGGCAGAGCGCCAGCCUCGUAAGUUGGUGGUCGCGAGUUCAAGUCUCGCCGGCGGCUCCA